ensembl:lncRNA
GUCAGAUAUAUGAUUUACAAAUGUUUUCUCCCAUUCUGUGUGUUAUAUAUCUUUCCGCUUCCUUGAUGGUGUCCUUUCAUACAUAAAAGUUUUGAAUUUUUAUGAAGUCUAAUUUAUCUAUUUUUCCUUUGGUUGCUUGUGCUUUUGAUGUCAUAUCCGAGAAACCAUGGCUUAAUCCAAAGUCACGAAGAUUUGUUCCUCUGUUUUCUAUUAAGUGUUUCAUGCUUUUAGCUCUUCCCUAUAGGUCUUUGAUCCAUCUUGAGUUAAUUUUUGUACGUGGUAUGAGGUGGAGGCCCAACUUUAUGUUUUGCAUAUGGACAUCCAGUUGCCCCAGCACUAUUUGUUGAAAAGACUACUCUGUCCCCAUUGAAUUAUCUUGGCACCCUAGUUGAAAAUUAAUUGACCAUAAAUCUGAGGGUUAAGAAGUGCACUUUGAAUGGAAAUUUGAGGAAUGAGAAAUUUGUAUGGGUCUGAAAGAAUAGGGAGAAGCAGGCUGGGGCAGGGAGGUGUUUUAUUUUACUUUUUGUGUUUUAUUUUAAAUUCCAAAAGUAAUACAUUGUCACUAUAAAAGACUCAAGUAUAGAGAGUAAAAAGUAAAUGUUCCUCUUCAGACUCUCUCCAAGUUUAGUCCCUUUGCUGUUUGUAAACCACCGCUAACAUAUCAGAGGGUAUGUUUAACUAAAAAGUUAGUUAAGUGGCGUGUGGCUAGAUUGGGAGGAGCCUAAAAUUCUAGAUCAAGGGUUUUGAACGUGAUUUAAAAGAAAGCUAAAUAGGCAUUAUAGGCCUUUUCUUUUUAAAUGUAGAUUCUUAUUUAGAGGAGUGAUAUCUCUUUUUUGAGUCUCCCUUGAGUCAGAUUUACUCCCUCAACAGGGUGGCCAAGAAUCUGGGAGAGUCAAACUCCACGAAGCUCACCAAGCCUCAGAUGAUCUCCAGUUCUUUUAUUAGCACCCUUUCCUCUCAAUUCAGAUUCAAGGAACAUAAAGUCUCAUUGGGAGCUAGGGGUAAGAUGGGGGCGGGAGAAUGGACAUGGGCAGCAAAGGCGAGGGAUCACAGCAUAGCACAGCUGAGGACUUGGAGACUGAGGCAAGAUUAGGGGAUAUUAGGGAAUGUGUCCAGGGGCAUGACCUCUAUCUCCCAGAGAAGUUUGAUCAGAAGUAGAGGAUCUUCCUGGACCUCCAGGAUGUUCAAUAGUUCUGGCUCAGUGCUCUGCUCUCAUUCCAUGGAUUCGAAGUACAAAUAGUUUCCCCCUUGAUGAACCUUUCAGAUCCUUUCUAACCCUAGCAGCAGUUUACUCUUUUUUUUUGAGGAAGAUUAACCCUGAGCUAACUACUGCCAAUCCUCCUCUUUUUGCUGAGGAAGACUGGCCCUGAGCUAACAUCCAUGCCCAUCUUCCUCUGCUUUAUACGUGGGACGCCUACCACAGAAUGGCUUUUGCCAAGCGGUGCCAUGUCCACACCCGGGAUCCGAACCAGCAAACGCCGGGCCGCUGAGAAGCGGAACGUGCAAACUUAACUGCUGCGCCGCCGGGCCAGCCCCAGCAGUUUACCUUUAAUGUCGUUUUUCCACGGGGGACCAGCAACUACCCAGAAUUCCUGGAGAGGAUGGAGGUCAAAAUACAGAACAUUUCCAGCACCACAGAACGCUGACUCCUUGUGCCCCUUCUCAGUCCUUACCCACGCCCAUGAUUGACCACAUUCUGACUUCUGUAGUCGUAGAUCAGUUUUGCCUGUAUUUGAAUUUCAUAUAAAUGGAAUCAUAAGCGCGUGGUGUGGCUGAUGUGAAGCCUUCAAAUGCUGCAGCCCUUUUGCUACCAGGAAUGGAGUCAAAUUUAUGAUGAAGC